rnacentral:rRNA from 1 species
UACGGGGGGGGCAAGCGUUGUUCGGAAUUACUGGGCGUAAAGGGCUCGUAGGCGGCCAACUAAGUCAUACGUGAAAUCCCUCGGCUUAACCGGGGAACUGCGUCUGAUACUGGAUGGCUUGAGAUUGGGAGAGGGAUGCGGAAUUCCUGGUGUAGCGGUGGAAUGCGCAGAUAUCAGGAGGAACACCGGUGGCGAAGGCGGGUCUCUGGCCCGAUACUGACGCUGAGGUGCGAAAGCGUGGGGAGCAAACAGG